CCUACGGGAGGCAGCAGUGGGGAAUAUUGCACAAUGGGGGAAACCCUGAUGCAGCGACGCCGCGUGAGUGAAGAAGUAUUUCGGUAUGUAAAGCUCUAUCAGCAGGGAAGAAAAUGACGGUACCUGACUAAGAAGCCCCGGCUAACUACGUGCCAGCAGCCGCGGUAAUACGUAGGGGGCAAGCGUUAUCCGGAUUUACUGGGUGUAAAGGGAGCGUAGACGGCAGCACAAGUCUGGAGUGAAAUGCCGGGGCUUAACCCCGGAACUGCUUUGGAAACUGUGCAGCUAGAGUGCAGGAGGGGUAAGUGGAAUUCCUAGUGUAGCGGUGAAAUGCGUAGAUAUUAGGAGGAACACCAGUGGCGAAGGCGGCUUACUGGACUGUAACUGACGUUGAGGCUCGAAAGCGUGGGGAGCAAACAGGAUUAGAUACCCUAGUAGUC
rnacentral:rRNA from 1 species